AACGAACGCUGGCGGCAUGCCUAACACAUGCAAGUCGAACGAGACCUUCGGGUCUAGUGGCGCACGGGUGCGUAACGCGUGGGAACCUGCCCUUAGGUUCGGAAUAACUCCCCGAAAGGGGUGCUAAUACCGGAUAAUGUCUUCGGACCAAAGAUUUAUCGCCCUUGGAUGGGCCCGCGUUGGAUUAGCUAGUUGGUAGGGUAAAAGCCUACCAAGGCGACGAUCCAUAGCUGGUCUGAGAGGAUGAUCAGCCACACUGGGACUGAGACACGGCCCAGAAUCCUACGGGAGGGAGCAGUGGGGAAUAUUGGACAAUGGGCGAAAGCCUGAUCCAGCAAUGCCGCGUGAGUGAUGAAGGCCUGAGGGUUGUAAAGCUCUUUUACCCGGGAUGAUAAUGACAGUACCGGGAGAAUAAGCUCCGGCUAACUCCGUG
rnacentral:rRNA from 1 species